UACGUAGGGGGCUAGCGUUGCUCGGAAUCACUGGGCGUAAAGCGCACGUAGGCGGUUUGUUAAGUCAGGCGUGAAAUCCUGGAGCUCAACUCCAGAACUGCCUUUGAUACUGAGAGGCUUGAGUCCGGGAGAGGUGAGUGGAACUGCGAGUGUAGAGGUGAAAUUCGUAGAUAUUCGCAAGAACACCAGUGGCGAAGGCGGCUCACUGGCCCGGUACUGACGCUGAGGUGCGAAAGCGUGGGGAGCAAACAGG
rnacentral:rRNA from 1 species